rnacentral:rRNA from 1 species
GACGAACGCUGGCGGCGUGCUUAACACAUGCAAGUCGAACGGAAAGGCCCUGCUUGCCGGGUACUCGAGUGGCGAACGGGUGAGUAACACGUGGGUGAUCUGCCCUGCACUUCGGGAUAAGCCUGGGAAACUGGGUCUAAUACCGGAUAGGAGCCAUUUUUAGUGUGAUGGUUGGAAAGUUUUUUCGGUGUAGGAUGAGCUCGCGGCCUAUCAGCUUGUUGGUGGGGUAAUGGCCUACCAAGGCGGCGACGGGUAGCCGGCCUGAGAGGGUGGACGGCCACAGUGGGACUGAGAUACGGCCCAGACUCCGACGGGAGGCAGCAGUGGGGAAUAUUGCACAAUGGGCGCAAGCCUGAUGCAGCGACGCCGCGUGGGGGAUGACGGCCUUCGGGUUGUAAACUCCUUUCGCUAGGGACGAAGCUUUUUGUGACGGUACCUAGAUAAGAAGCACCGGCUAACUACGUG